rnacentral:rRNA from 1 species
AUUGAACGCUGGCGGCAGGCCUAACACAUGCAAGUCGAACGAGUGGCGGACGGGUGAGUAAUGUCUGGGAAACUGCCUGCUGGAGGGGGAUAACUACUGGAAACGGUAGCUAAUACCGCAUACCAUCAGAUGUGCCCAGAUGGGAUUGGCUAGUAGGUGGGGUAACGGCGAACCUAGGCGACGAUCCCUAGCUGGUCUGCGAGGAUGACCAGCCACACGGGAAUGGAGACACGGUCCAGACUCCUACGGAAGGAAGCAGUGGGGAAUAUUGCACAAUGGGCGCAAGCCGGACGCAGCAAUGCCGCGUGUAUGAAGAAGGCCUUCGGGUUGUAAAGUACUUUCAGCGGGGAGGCGUUACCCGAAGAAGAAGCACCGGCUAACUACGUGCCAGCAGCCGCGGUAAUAC